rnacentral:rRNA from 1 species
AAGAUAUCUCACCAGAAAUGGUUAAGGUCCCUGAUAGACGAUCAGGUAGAUAGGCUGGAUGUGGAAGUAUGGCAACAUAUGGAGCUGACCAGUACUAAUCGACCGAGGUCUUGAUCCA